UUUUCUUUUAAUGUUUAAAAUAAUUUUAAUAAUUUCUUUAUGUUUUGGAUGUCUCAGAACUUCACAGGCAUUUUGGAAUAUGCAAGAGUUCUUCCAGGAAUAUUUACCUUUUAGCCAGAAAGAAGAAAGCAUUAUAAAGAAAACUGUCUAUAAUAAAGAACUUAAAGAGGUGUGUGAUGAAAAGGAAUUGAUUUUACAAUUGGCACGCUUGUAUAUUAUAAGUCCUGAACGUAUUAUAUUGUUAUUGACAAGAAAAUCUUUAAACAAAGAGUGUUUAAAGGUGGCAGAUGUUUUACAGCAUAUAAAUUCCACGAUUUCGGUUAGCAUACCUUUGCCAGUGGAUAAUCUUUAUAUGAAACUUUAUAAUAGUUUGGAUUAUUAUAAUUCCUAUGUUUGUCUGUAUAAUCCAAAUACUAGAGGAAAUCAUCUCAUCAACUAUCAUGAAUGCUUAACAGAAUUGCAUGAAGAUUUGCUAGAUUGUGAGGGUCCACCCGAUUGGUUUGAAAAGACCAAUGAAGCUAUAGUUUGCCAGUAUAUAUUACAAUGAAAUUAUAAACUGUCAUUAUAUAAAAACAGCCCUUUUAUGUGGCUUAAAACCCGCUUUAAUGCUGCGUACCUUUUCAAAUGAAAUCAUGAAAAGAAUAGUAACGUUUAAAUGUAAAAUUUCAAGAUCACUGCCACAAAUCGAUGAUCCAAUGCCGGCAAGUGGAAGUUCCUGCCAUUUGAAGUAUUUUCAAAAUGUCCUGUUUUACACAUUACUCACUAUACCAUUUAAAGGUGUUUUAUAUAUA
rnacentral:misc_RNA from 1 species